GAUUAUUAUCUUUUAUUUUUUAGUCAAAUAUUGGAUAUACUAUCUAACUAUUGGAGAUCCGUUUUCUUUAUGAAUUAGGAAUCUUUUGGAUAAAUUCUAACUAGUAUAAUAUAAUAUGUAUCACAUUUAUAUAUAAAUAAUACAUUUUUACCAAUGAAACAAUCACUUUCUAUACAUAAGAAAAAUCCUCAUAGACAUGGAGAACACAAAAAUGUUCGUAUUGGUAGCGAUGAUGUUAAUGAUUGGAAACCAUCUAACUGAAUCGGUUUACGCGUCUGAUCCAAUAUCGCGUGCAUUAUGCUUUUUUAAAUGUAAUGAACUGUGUAUUAUUGAUCCAUUUAAUCUUCUAAACGCUAAAAAAUGUGACCUCAAAUGUGCUAAGGAAUGUGGUAUGCCUGGUUAUGUAAAACAAGACACAAUCAACCAAAUUGACUAUUUAUGCCAAGUGGGUUGUGUUAAUCAUCGUUGUGCUCUUACUGAAAAUCAAAAUAUGGGGAAAGCUGCGGGCUGUGUGAAUUCAUGUUCAGAAAUUUGUAAUAAAAAGAACUAAUAGCGAUAGAAUAUGUUAUAUUAUAACAAUUUAAUGUUUAAUGAAGAUAGUAUGAAUCAAAUCAA